rnacentral:rRNA from 1 species
AUGGUUAACAGAAAAUAUACGUUUUGUUGUUGGAAUGUUCGAGGUCUUGGACAAACACAAAAAUGUUCGGACGUUCUCGCAGAACUAAUCUUCGUCAAAUCACAUGCAUGUUUCCUUCAGGAAACUAAACUAAACUCUCCCGACGCUCGGAAAAUCCGAUCCUUCAUCCCUGCCGAGCUUGACAUAUCUCAUCACAAAGAUGCGGAUGGCACAUCAGGGGGGAUGAUGGCCUCAUGCUCCUCUUUGUUGUUCACUGCGGUCACAUACACCCAAUCCCGUUUCUUGCAAACGAUCACCUUCUCAUCCUUAGCUUCACCCAGUCCACUCACAAUCACCAAUGUUUACGCCUCGACAGACCACUCGCUUAAGUUAGAUUUCCUCUCGGAAAUUGAGGCGGCGGCCCCCGGCCAAAAUAUGCCCUGGAUGAUCUGCGGAGACUUCAAUCUAAUGAGAUAUGCCUCGGACAAAAAUAAUGACUCCUUCCGACAAUGUGAGGUUGAUCUGUUCAACCAAUGGAUCCAUACCUUGGCCCUCAUCGAGCUUCCUCUCCUUGAUAGGAGAUACACUUUGUCCAAUAAACGGGACAAGCCGACCUUAGAACUCCUAGACCGUGUCUUUGUAAAUGACUCAUGGGACCAGACCUUUCCCGAGUCCUCACUCUCGAGUCUCAUACGCUACAUCUCCGACCACGUGCCCCUAAUCAUCUCGAUUAGCACCCGCUGCCCCCGGCCCGCUUUCUUUAGAUUUGAACUUGGCUGGGCCGAAAACCCGACAUGUAGGCCGGUUAUCACUUCUUCCUGGGAGUCGGCCCCACGUCGCCCUUCGACCCCUCACGAUCGCACGGGCCCUAAAAAAAUGUCGCCUUGCCCUCCGGGUAUGGCGUAG